rnacentral:rRNA from 1 species
GACGAACGCUGGCGGCGUGCUUAACACAUGCAAGUCGAACGGAAAGGCCCUGCUUUUGUGGGGUGCUCGAGUGGCGAACGGGUGAGUAACACGUGAGUAACCUGCCCUUGACUUUGGGAUAACUUCAGGAAACUGGGGCUAAUACCGGAUAGGAGCUCCUGCUGCAUGGUGGGGGUUGGAAAGUUUCGGCGGUUGGGGAUGGACUCGCGGCUUAUCAGCUUGUUGGUGGGGUAGUGGCUUACCAAGGCUUUGACGGGUAGCCGGCCUGCGAGGGUGACCGGCCACAUUGGGCCUGGGCUGCGGCCCAGCCUCCUACGGGAGGCAGCAGUGGGGAAUAUUGCACAAUGGGCGGAAGCCUGAUGCAGCAACGCCGCGUGCGGGAUGACGGCCUUCGGUUUGUAAACCGCUUUCGCCUGUGACGAAGCGUGAGUGACGGUAAUGGGUAAAGAAGCACCGGCUAACUACGUG